rnacentral:misc_RNA from 1 species
GGAAGCGGGCGGAGGCCGGAUCCGACACCGUCGUCGUAGUAGAGCUCGAAUCCCGCCGCGGCGUCGCGAUCGGUGUCGGAGGGGCCGCGGAGGACGAUGACGGGGUUGAAGGGGGAUCGAUCGACGGCGGGGGAACGGCGGGUGCGGCGGAGGCGCAAAUCGGGACGGGCCUCGUCGCGGACCAUAAACAUGGCGUUGGCGGCGAGGGGGCGGC